CCGCCCCGCCCCGCGCCGCCGCCCCCAACCCCUAGGCUGAGCCGGAGGGAGGGACCCAGAAGGGAGGGAGGCGGAAGGGAGGCCAAAAAGGAGGGGGCCACGUGAAAGAGGCCGGCCGACCGAGACCGAGGGAGACUGAGCGGAGCGCACGCCCUGGAAGGAGAGAGCCGGAGAGUUCGGGAGGCAAGACCCCCAGAGACGAGAGUCGGAGGGAUCAAACGACACAGGGUUUCACCAUGUUGCCCAAGCUGUUCUCCAGAACUCCUGAGCUCAAGCAAUCUACCUGCCUUGGCCUCCCAAAGUGCUGGAAUUACAGAUGGAGUCUUGCUCUGUCACCCAGACUGGGUACAGUGGCACGAUCUCGGCUCACUACAAACUCCACCUCCUGGGUUCAAGAGAUUCUCCUACCUCAGCCUCCCGAGUAGCUGGGACUACAGACACAGGGGUUUGCCCUCCUGUCCCUUCUCCUCCAGAGGACACAGCAUUCAAUACUACCUUGGAAGCAGCGACAGCAACCCUCACCAGACACCAAGCCUGCUGGCACCUUGAUCUUGGACAUCCAGCCUCCAGAUCUGUGAGAAGUAAAUUCUGGUUUUUUAAAAAUUACCCAGUCUCAGGUAUUUUUUAAUACACACAUUAAUGGACUAAGACAAGACUCAACACUGUCAAGUUGUCAAUUUGUGCUAAAUUGAUCUAUAGACUUAAUAUGUUCUCAAUAAAAGUCCCAACAAGGUUAAUGUGGAAAUUGACAAGCUGAUUCUAAAACAUAAUGAAAGGCAACGGACGUAGAAUAACAAAAACCCUUUUGAAAAAAUGAAUAUUACCUGAAAUGAAGAGUCAGCAUAAAGUUACAAUGAUAAAGACAGUGUGUUACUGGCACAGGGAUAGACAUAUAGACCAAUAGAACUGAAUUGAGAAUCCAGAUGUAUAUAUCAAGUCAAUGGGGGAAAGGUAUAGAAUAAAGAGGUAUUCACAUAGGAAAAAGCAAAUCUCAAAUUUUACUUCACAUCAUACACAAAAAAUGACUCUGAAUGGAGGGUAGUUCUAAAGGUAAGAGCUAAAGCUAUAGUACUUCUAGAACAGGGGUUACAAUUUUUUUUCUUUAAAGAAACAAAUAGUAAAUAUUGUAUGCUUUGCAGGCCAAAAGAUCUCUAUUGCAGCUACUCAACUCUGCCAUUGUAGCACCAAACAGUCACAGAUAAUACACAAACAACUGGGUGCAGCUAUGUUCCAAUAAAGCCUUCUUUACAAAAAUAGGUGGUGUUCCAGUAAAACUUUGUAUACCAA
rnacentral:lncRNA from 1 species